rnacentral:rRNA from 1 species
AGUGAACGCUGGCGGCAGGCCUAACACAUGCAAGUCGAACGGCAGCACAGGGGAGCUUGCUCCCUGGGUGGCGAGUGGCGGACGGGUGAGGAAUACAUGGGAAUCUGCCCCGACGUGGGGGAUAACGUAGGGAAACUUACGCUAAUACCGCAUGAUCUGGAGACAGCAAAGCGGCGGACCGCAAGGCGUCGCGCGACGGG